rnacentral:rRNA from 1 species
CAUGCAAGUCGCACGGAAGCUUCGGCUUCAGUGGCGGACGGGUGAGUAACGCGUAGGUAUCUGUCCACGGGUGGGGGAUAACUCCGGGAAACUGGAGCUAAUACCGCAUAAUACCUGAGGGUCAAAGGCGCAAGUCGCCUGUGGAGGAGCCUGCGUUCGAUUAGCUUGUUGGUGGGGUAAUGGCCUACCAAGGCGAUGAUCGAUAGCUGGUCUGAGAGGAUGAUCAGCCACACUGGGACUGAGACACGGCCCAGACUCCUACGGGAGGCAGCAGUGGGGAAUAUUGGACAAUGGGGGCAACCCUGAUCCAGCAAUGCCGCGUGUGUGAAGAAGGUUUUCGGAUUGUAAAGCACUUUCGGCGGGGACGAUGAUGACGGUACCCGCAGAAGAAGCCCCGGCUAACUUC